GACGAACGCUGGCGGCGUGCUUAACACAUGCAAGUCGAACGGAAAGGCCCUGCUUUUGUUGGGUGCUCGAGUGGCGAACGGGUGAGUAACACGUGAGUAACCUGCCCUUGACUUUGGGAUAACUUCAGGAAACUGGGGCUAAUACCGGAUAGGAGCUCCUGCUGCAUGGUGGGGGUUGGAAAGUUUCGGCGGUUGGGGAUGGACUCGCGGCUUAUCAGCUUGUUGGUGGGGUAGUUGCUUACCAAGGCUUUGACGGGUAGCCGGCCUGAGAGGGUGACCGGCCACAUUGGGACUGAGAUACGGACCAGACGCCUACGGGAGGCAGCAGUGGGGAAUAUUGCAGAAUGGGCGGAAGCCUGAUGCAGCAACGCCGCGUGCGGGAUGACGGCCUUCGGGUUGUAAACCGCUUUCGCCUGUGACGAAGCGGGAGUGACGGUAAUGGGUAAAGAAGCACCGGCUAACUACGUG
rnacentral:rRNA from 1 species